rnacentral:rRNA from 1 species
CGGAGGGUGCAAGCGUUGUCCGGAUUUAUUGGGUUUAAAGGGUGCGCAGGUGGGUAUUUAAGUCUGGUUUGAAAGCAGGUGGCUCAACCAUCUGAUGUGGCUGGAAACUGGAUAUUUUGAAUGGGUUGGCGGUAGCCGGAAUGGGUCAUGUAGCGGUGAAAUGCAUAGAUAUGACCCGGAACACCGAUUGCGAAGGCAGGCUACUACGACUUGAUUGACACUGAGGCACGAGAGCAUGGGUAGCGAACAGGAUU